GGAGGGGCUGCGCUGCGGGUGCGGGUUUUGUUCCGGCUAUCACCGAUGGUUCAGGUGGAACUUCAGCUGUUUGAAAUUAGGGCACAAUGGAGAGAAGUGCCCGUGAGUAACGCGAGGCUCCCACCUGCGGCCGGGAGAAACAAUUCACCGAUGUCGAAGUUUAAAACAGCUCUUUUUAUUAAAAGUUUACAAUAAUUUAUGUAUUUUACAAAUGAAUAGAAAGUCUCUUGAUAUAUAGCAUAUGAAUCACGAUACAAAAAUAUGUGUAAAAUUCUGUAACUGACCGGUGCAGCCCCUUGGGCCCAGCAGUCACUGCCUCAGCACCCACCCGACCUGUGGUUGCAUCAGUCCGGCCCAGGCUGUGCCUCUGCCCGGUGCUGCAGUACCUGAACUGGGAGCACCUGUGACUCCUUUGGCAUUCCUUCAGAAGCUCCCCGUGCCGCAGGUAACACAUUACACGUUCUUUCCAAACUCCGGUAGGUGAAAUAAGGCUGCCAUAGCAGAGCAGCAGUGAGCAGGCAAUGCAUUCAGUGUGUGCCCCUCCGCCCUGUUUGGAAGAGGGCUGGGGCUGCCCAGAGCCCCUCAGCCCCCAGGACUGAGCCCCAAGCAUCCCCAAGCCGAGCACAGAGGGCUUUGUUGAGCUCAGCAGCACAUCUGUGUCGCUGUCCUUCUGUGCCUUUAGACAGAAGAAGCUAUUUUUAAAACAUUCUUUGAGCCAUUUUUUUCUUUCCUAUGUACAUAACUUUUUACACAUAAAUAUUAACAUCUACAUAAGCGUAAUCCCUUAUAUACAUGUGGACCUGUCCUGUACAGCUUUCUUACUAAAGAAAACACCGUAAGGAAGUCUAACCAAGAGCUGGACCCUGCGCAGCACACACACACAGCUGGGGUCUGAGUUAUGGGGGAACUCAGUUUGGAGGCAUUUCUCUGCCCCACGCUGCCCCCCCGGUGGGAUUAAGGCAUUCUGCAGAUGCCAGCAGAGCACAUCCCAGGCCUUCCUGGCUUGCAGUAUCUCCACGAGGGCCCGCAGUGUGCCACACACAGCUCUGUGCAGGCACUCCCGUGUAACUGAGUGCAUUAAGACAUUGCGUUUAAGUGGAACUCAAAAUGGACGUUUGGGAUUUGGCUUCUUUGUGCAUAAAGAUGCUCAUCUGAGCCGCCCCAACACAGGUGCUUGUAUGGGGUGGAGCUGGGAUUGGGUACAUGACUCCUGUUGGAUAAUUAUACGCUGAUAUUGAGGUCCGUAACCUUUGAUUCACGUUUUGUCCCAUUACUUCAGCACUGAGGGAACACUCUUCUGAACAAUUUGCGCUGUUCUGUUCUGCUGUCGGCCCCCCCACUGCUCCCUGCCCAGUGUGGAAUGGAGGGCUGCUGUACCAACACCACGGUUUUCGAAGUUUGUUAUCAAUGGAUUCACUUCUCAGCUUUCUAAACCUGACGUGGGUUGCAGAAGCAGUGCGGGUACCUAUGGGAUAAACAAACACAGGGGUGAAGCACAGCGAGAGGCCCCUCCUGCAGCGAUGCUGAUCCCAAACACUGCAGCAGUUCUGGGGAACCCCUUCCACACUGCGGGGUGUAACUGCUCCGGCAGCACAUGCACCUGUGUGAAGGAGGGCUGCAGGAGCAGCCAUGCAGGGCUGAAACAAACUGCUUUGAGAACACAGAGCCGGUGUUAGCGUGGCUCCCGGACAGGAGGAUUCAGCACUGGCAAAGCCUUUUGUUUAUUUGGUAGCACAUGGUGCUCAUCUGUACUACACCUGCAUAUAACUGCCAUGCAACUGCGCAAUGGUGUUUAAUUGCUUAAUGAUGUUUAAUUGCUUUUUAAGAAGACAAAUCUAUUAGCUAACAGCUGUAAUUGUACAUAAACUGCAUGGAGCUAUUUCUAAGUAAGGCAAGAAAUGUUGGGUGGUGUAUUUGCAGCUGUUGGAAUUCCACAGCUACUCUAUCGGAGCAAUGAUUGCAGGCUGGGCAGGCUGUGCUGGUCUGGCAGGGGUGAGCGGUGCAGCCCCCACCUCCAUGGCUGUCACAGCACUGUCAUCUCCUUCACAUCCCUCUAACAGUCCUCCUGUCAAUUUGUGGCACCCCCGGGGCUUUUCCUGCUUGUUACAAGAAUGAAGCCAGCCACUGGGACAGCCCUACUUUAGCAAAAGCCAAAGACAGAACAAAUUUGCCUACAUCUGCCUCUGCAGAUCUUUGUAACAAAGCCAUCACAGGUCUGAGCUCCUCGGACAGGUUCUUUUCCUGGCGGAGGUUUGUCUGGGAGCUCUAAUUGCCCAGUGGGGCAGACACAUCCCCACACAUCGCUGCACAUCACCCACAUUGCUGCACAGGGCAGCCCAUGCAGUGUCAUGCCUCCUGCCGUGCACUGCCCUGCGCGCUCUGUGCCCACUCACACCACGGCCUGCUCCAGCCCCGCACCUCGCUCAGCUCCAGCCUCCUCUCCUGCCCCCCCAGGAGCUGACUGUCACUGCCGGGACUAACUGGGGGAAUCCUGAGCUGUGAGCUGGGUGCAGACACGUCUCUAUCCUUAGGAAGCCAGGCUGAGAAGCAGGAGCUGGGCAACAGCACCUUAAACUUAAGCCAGGUCAAAGCGUCGUUCUUCUCACUCUUCAGAGUUGUCAUUCUCUGCAGUAUAUCUCAGAAGAAAACCUUUCUGCAGCUCUGUCUAUGCACACCAUAGUGGUGCUGGCAGGGACACACCAGUCCCUCACCGAGACACCGUCGGGCAGCCGGACCUCCUCUUCAGGCCCAUCCCAUGAGAUCUUUACAAAUGAAGAGGAAGAACUCACAACAACCUGGGACUGACAGCACCGUGACUGACACAAAUGAGGUUAAAUCCAGCUAAUUUGUGUGUAUACUCAAAAUUCCAUUCCUCUGACAAUAGUUAAGGGCUGUGCUGUGCCUCUCAGCCCCAUCAAAGUGAAGGGACACAAACCCACACGUCCCCAGCUCACUCACAGUUUAUUCUUGGGACUUUGACUGAAUGAAACAUGAAAGAUUGAUAAAUAUGAGUUUAUUUUAGCUGGUCAGUUUCCCUUGUUUCCUCCCUAACAGAGGAGGAGGAAUCCUUCCCUGUCUGGAAGAUACAGUCAUGACAUGAGAGUAAACCAAGGAGAGAAUGCUCAUGGAAAGACCUCACAGAAAUGAGCUCUGCAGUGCUGCAGCCCUCCUGAAGGUGAAUGAUAAAAAGGGCAAAGUUUGUUUUAAAAGAAGUGCUCCAUGGAUCAUACUUCUACAGUGCAAAUCUCAGCUUUUGUGCCAAGUUAGGGCUGAAUGGGUACCUCGAUUGCAGUUACUGCCUCGUUGGUUUUGGUGAACAAAACAUUACAUUGCUAACAUUAUACCCACGUGAAAACAGUUGUCACUGCAGAGUGUCUAACCCAUGUAGCAGGCCAGGGCACGGGCAGCCCAAGCAGAAAGUUCUCUGUGACACUGCUCCAAACCUCAGCUCUGUGCAGGAUGCUGCGGUUUGGGUGAGCAGAACACACUGUCCUGCCCUGUGGAUGUGAACCAGCAGACACUGCUGCCGAAAUGCAGCAGCUGUGGGAAGGUCCGACAGAUGUGAGGGCCCUUUUAAAUGUUAAUCAAGGGAUUUAAUCCCACAUUUAUGCGAGCUCACAGAUCAGACUUUGACUCUUCCCACUAAAGCACAGACCCCGAGUUGAGGGGGAGGGCCCUGCAGGAACUGCCACCGUGGCACAGAGGGAUCAGAGACAGCUCUGCUCCUUACAGCAAACAUGAGGACACUUGUAUGAAUUAAUUGUGUGCCCCAUAUCAAGCACCACACCACCAAACAGGGCUCUGCACAUCAGACCCGUGCUUUGGCCAUUUUGAUGACUUCCAUCCUUUCACUGAGCUCUCCUGGAAGAACGCACGAUGAGCACACAGCUCUGCUCCUAUUCACUUCUGGGUCUGGAGCUGUUGUGCUCCCGAACCUCAGAGGAAAACUCGAUCAAACAAACCCUGUGCUGUUCAAACGUGACAGAAGCACCGUGCUCAGGCACCCAGAAAGAGAGCAAAAGUGUAUCUGUUCAUCUUACUGUAAUGGUUGGCUGCAAGCUGACCUUCACAGCAAUACAAGCCAGUAGAACUAUUUUUCCAGCAAUGUUAAUACUAAGCAUUUAUCUGUUUGGGGGGUCCUGCUUCAUUACAGAAACAUUGUUCUCUGCUUAUCAUUUUAAGUGGCUGCAUUUUGUAACAGUAUUUGAUGGAGAAGGACACAAUGCCAUUGUCUUGUCUGGGUUUGUGUCCAAUUUAUUGCAACAAAUCAGUCCUGUGUGAAGUCCUUCCGUCGCUCUGGAAUGGCAUCUCAGAUAACCACCAUAAAGCAGACAUUCUGCUUACAAGGAAAACCUCAUCAGGUCUGCUCCACAUUGUUUUCUGGUGGAAUUCACUGAACAGUAAUUUGCAGCCUUUUACUUUUACUUCAUGAACUGAAAUCUCUCCAUGAUCAGACCUCCAAUCCGCGCUGUGCUCAAGCACCAGCGACGGCGUUAUUCCUGCCCGAGGACCUCCACCUCACCUCGUCUCCAGACACUGCAAAUUCAGACUGACACUGUCAUUUCUAUGUAUUUCUGUGUAUUUCAGCCUGUAUCAGCCCCUGAAAUAUUAAAGCAGAAAAACGGCGCAACAAGGCGCUCCACACUUUUCUGUAUGUUGGUUAUUAUUAGCCUGCAGGAAACCCCUUUGUUAAUAUUGAGCCACAUUCUGCUCUUUACUGGGACCAAUUACACAGGAUUUACAUCACAGUAAACAUGAGCAGACUUUGAGCCUUUUGCUUUAUAUGCUCCCAUUCAUCCCACUGGGGGGGCUUCCUGAAGUCUUGAAUUUCCCCUAUUUGGCUCAUGCUAAACAAAGAUGUUUUGAGUCCUCCUGCACAGCAAAGACUUCCCAAUUAGUAUUCUAAUAACGUAGCUCAUUAACCUUGUCUCCAUACAAGGCAAGCCUUUUACAGCCCCUUUAAAAAUGAAUGGAAAUAUACAGGAUGUGGCUGAUGGAACGAUAAAGCAAAAUGUAAGCUCUAGUAGCUCAUCAUCUCUCCUGUGGGUCGUUUCUGCAAAAACGUGCUGCUGACCUUAAAAAAAAGUCUCUUCUGAUAACUGAAACACACCAAUAAAAAGUGCAAUUUGGUUAUACAACCGAUAAAUAAAGUGAUGUAGAGAAAAGUGAUUAUCUACCAAAGGAACAGGAUAGCGUGGACAGAUCCAGCAGUGGUGUAAAAGAAGGUGACCCAACGGGACAGCUGUCAGCAGAAUGCUGCCCGCCAGCUUCACUGCUGGGCAGUGUGAAGGCACCCAGAGGUGCCACGGGGAGAUAAAAGGAUCGGGUGCUGAAGAUCUUAAUUUGGUGUUUGCAAUUGCUCUCGUGCCUACAGUAGGAAAGAAGGCUGAAUAAUCUUUGUUAAAAAUGGUAUGUCCACUCCUAAAGUAAAUUUAUACUGCAGUGAGAAAUGUAAGGGCUGGAGGAGCUGGGUCACUGUCUGGGAUUGCUGUCCACCGUGAGCCUGAGGGCGGUUCACUGCUGGUCAGAAUCAGGGGGGUCAGGAGGAGGCACCCCCCCACACUCCUGCAGUGCAGUCCUGUGUGCCAUGUGUGCUAAGUGGCAGCGGCACCCACCUCGUAGGCUGAGGUCUGCUUUCCAGCCUUCUGUCACUGACAAAUGUACGUCAACACCUAACAUUUUCAAUACCUAUUUAAGUUUGAACUAAUUAAAGUAAUAAAUUACUAUCUUGUAUUAUCAGUAGGAAACCUUUGCAGUCGUGAAUCUGGACUGCUGCCAGGUGUGAUCCUGCCCCCAUUGGGAACGCCUCCUUAUGAGGGCAGACACAGUAACCAUCUUUGUCAUUCUUUGCGAUCUGUGCCUCCCUUCAGGGCCAUUUCACAUCAGGUCCGGCUCCGAAGGGAGCUGUGCGGGGAGCCUGCGGGCAGCAGGGAGCGGGGAGCAGGGAAACUGUGCUGUGAGCCCCAGCAGCUUCGUGUGCGCCUCCGAGGGACGGGGCUCCCCUGCAGGCAGGGCCUGAGGCCACGAGGCCUGCUGGCCAAGGACAGAGCACAGCUCCGGUCGGCGCUGAAGGCCAGCUGUGCUCCGAGUGAGUUCUCACGGCAAUGCGCCCUUAUUAAACUCAGAUCACUGGGAAAAAAAUACAGGUUUGGGGGCGCUCAAACCCUUCUAUCAACAUAAAAACUAACGGCCUUUGAGGCUAACCGGGCGCCGUGAGCCCGGCGGCGCGCUGCUGCCCCCUACCGGCAGCAGUACGCAGCGCC
ensembl:lncRNA